UGAGGGGGGCAGCUGGGCACGCGAAAACUACUCUUCUUGAUACUUUUCUUGCGGGAACGUUUUCUCCGGGGACAACUUUUCCUACACCCCUGACCUGGACCCCUGGACCUCUUUCACCCACAGAAAUGAGAGAGAAACGCCUUCAGCAAACUGCACUACAUUGCCCCUUUCGCAUUUGCAACCAAUCUUCAACUGCUGACCUGACAGCAGGCAACCAGGAGCCGCCAUGUUUUUUAAACUUGAUCUGCUUUACCGCCAUGUUUAAAUUUGUGUGGUGUCUCCUUGUCAGGUCGAGGCGUGCACAUCCACUGUAGACUGCAGUUGACAAGAGCUGUAUCACUCUCAUCACUCCCGCCCACAGACAACAUUUGCCCAAUCUAUACAUGAACAACACCGAGCACCUUGGAUCUGCACACCGAUAGCUGAGGAAAAUUCCUUUCCGCACUGAGAGAUGCUGCCAUGCAACAAGCUGCGAACAACCAGUGAACGCCCAACUGGCGGCAGAUCAACCCCAACAACCAACGAGGGAUCCAACGAUUGUAAAUCAGGAACCGCAGACUAGCUGUCUGUUUCAUCAUUGAAUAAACAUCCACCCUGUUCCAUCGCAAGAGAAGAGAUCGAAGCCCACUUUUCCGCUGCAUGAGGUUUCAGAGCAGCUCCUCUGGAUACCCCUCUCCCGUGCAAAAGAGGCAGCAGUACCGUCUAUCGGAGCCGCUUUACUCCGGAGAAGGUGCUCAGCAAGGCAAAGCAAAGCAAUGCAAAAGCACUUUACUUGUCGACGAUCGCAUCACCUACAAGCACAGGCUAAGUGUAGACCCAGAGCACAAAUUCCUUGUGACCAUCUUCAAGGUAUGCCUCCACUACGGAGAAAUGCCCAACGAGUGGAGGCUAUCACGAACUGUGCUCAUCUCGAAGAAAGGAGACCCAGGAAUAGUGACCAACUGGAGACCUAUAUCCUUCACUUGUACGAUCCACAAACUCUUCGAGGGUUUUCUGGCAGUGCGUGUGCAAUCGUAUAUCAUCUCCAAAGACAUACUUUAAAAAGGCCUGGGGUACAUCCCGCAAUCAAAGAUGAAUGAACAAAGCCAGAGCUAACCAAGGUGACCAAUGUCAACAACACCUAGAUAAAAGGCCUCUUGUGUCCUCUCCACGUGUGCCACGCCGCUCUAGCUGUUUGACGCAAUCUUAUCUGUUACGGUGUAGUGUGAAGAAGAUGACGAUCAGGCAACAUGGGCAUUUUAAGGUACAUAGCAUGUGCUUUUGGCAUGUUGUGUUGUGACCCCUCCUGCUUUCUUCGCCGCACAGUAGUUCUCCAGUGAUCCCCUCUUAGGUGUGUUCACCAGGAAGAGUCACUGAACUGCAACGAAUCUGGUACUCAUUCCACCAGGCCGACUAUGUGUCUCUGGCUGCCAUGGCAUGGCAACUAUUAAGUUGGACCAAAAGUCGUGUCUCCCGUUAGGGUUUAAGCUCGCAAUGGUCUUAUGCCGAGCUUGCAUUUAAAGAUAGAUGUCUGAACUUUGAGUGCACAGUACUAACCAGCCAACAUGAUCGUCAUUAUCAGUUAGUAGCUAUAACAAGGUGUAAACACCACUUGAGUUUACAGUAAGUAAGUGUUUGCAUUAAGUUAAGUAAACUAAAAACUGCUA